GCGACAGAUUCAGGGAGUGUCUUAUGGAGUAAAGCUAAGGGUCCAGGCCUUGGAGCACUACAAAGUGGUCAUGGGCUAUAGUUCCACCAAGAGCAACAUUUCCAGAGGACUGAACAGGGCUUCCAUCCGAAAAAGGACCCAGCGCAUCCAGCAGACCGUCAGCAGCUGGACUGAUGUGGCCAUGUCAAACAUCCGCAAAACCUCUUAAAA